rnacentral:rRNA from 1 species
AACGAACGCUGGCGGCAGGCUUAACACAUGCAAGUCGAGCGCAUCGCAAGAUGAGCGGCAGACGGGUGAGUAACGCGUGGGAAUCUACCGAGCCCUACGGAAUAGCUCCGGGAAACUGGAAUUAAUACCGUAUGCGCCCUACGGGGGAAAGAUUUAUCGGGGUUUGAUGAGCCCGCGUUGGAUUAGCUAGUUGGUGGGGUAAAGGCCUACCAAGGCGACGAUCCAUAGCUGGUCUGAGAGGAUGAUCAGCCACAUUGGGACUGAGACACGGCCCAAACUCCUACGGGAGGCAGCAGUGGGGAAUAUUGGACAAUGGGCGAAAGCCUGAUCCAGCCAUGCCGCGUGAGUGAUGAAGGCCUUAGGGUUGUAAAGCUCUUUCAGUGGGGAAGAUAAUGACGGUACCCACAGAAGAAGCCCCGGCUAACUUCGUGCCAGCCGCCGCCGUAACAC